AUUGAACGCUGGCGGCAUGCUUUACACAUGCAAGUCGAACGGCAGCGCGGGCUUCGGCCUGGCGGCGAGUGGCGAACGGGUGAGUAAUACAUCGGAACGUGCCCAGUAGUGGGGGAUAGCUCGGCGAAAGCCGGAUUAAUACCGCAUACGACCUGCGGGUGAAAGCGGGGGAUCUUCGGACCUCGCGCUCUUGGAGCGGCCGAUGGCAGAUUAGCUAGUUGGUGGGGUAAAGGCCUACCAAGGCGACGAUCUGUAGCUGGUCUGAGAGGACGACCAGCCACACUGGGACUGAGACACGGCCCAGACUCCUAAGGGAGGCAGCAGUGGGGAAUUUUGGACAAUGGGCGAAAGCCUGAUCCAGCAAUGCCGCGUGUGUGAUGAAGGCCUUCGGGUUGUAAAGAACUUUUGGCGGGAACGAAAAGGACUGUGCCAAUACCACGGUUCGAUGACGGUACCCGCAGAAUAAGCACCGGCUAACUACGUG
rnacentral:rRNA from 1 species